rnacentral:rRNA from 1 species
GAUGAACGCUGGCGGCGUGCCUAAUACAUGCAAGUCGAGCGAACAGACGAGGAGCUUGCUCCUCUGACGUUAGCGGCGGACGGGUGAGUAACACGUGGAUAACCUACCUAUAAGACUGGGAUAACUUCGGGAAACCGGAGCUAAUACCGGAUAAUAUAUUGGACCGCAUGGUUCAAUAGUGAAAGACGGUUUUGCUGUCACUUAUAGAUGGAUCCGCGCCGCAUUAGCUAGUUGGUAAGGGAACGGCUUACCAAGGCGACGAUGCGUAGCCGACCUGAGAGGGUGAUCGGCCACACUGGAACUGAGACACGGUCCAGACUCCUACGGGAGGCAGCAGUAGGGAAUCUUCCGCAAUGGGCGAAAGCCUGACGGAGCAACGCCGCGUGAGUGAUGAAGGUCUUCGGAUCGUAAAACUCUGUUAUUAGGGAAGAACAAAUGUGUAAGUAGCUAUGCACGUCUUGACGGUACCUAAUCAGAAAGCCACGGCUAACUACGUG